CACUUUUUCAACAGAGUCACCACCAUUAGCUGUGCGUUUUCACCAGCCUGCAUGCCACACUCAUAAAAAUCUGCACCAGUGGAUGUGCCCCACUGUUUCACAGCUGCUGUGAUGGCAAAGUCCUGACACCAUCACCCCUGCAGAGAUCUCCGUCCCCUCAGAGAGCUGCUGACAUCUACAGCUCUCACUGGAAGGAGGGGUGGAUAUAAGAAGGGAAAGAUGUACAGCAAGAAAUGCUGUUCCUCAUUUCUGUGACCAGCUGAAAAGUUUACAAGCAACUCAAAAUGUCUCUGGAUUGAUGAGCAAACCUGCGUAGUAAUAAGAGCAACUGUAGAGGAGGUGGAAAGAUACAUGCAUUUUGUGCACAUGCAUUUGAACAAAGUGGUAAACAUUUGUGUGAAUCACCACCGAGAUAUUAUUUUUCUCUGUUUUCAGCUGGAGAGAGAGGAGCUGCCAGAACAGAAACAUGGAGGUACUGAGCUCCAGUCAGCUGCUGUCACCGUUCCCAGCUUAAUUCACCACCAGUGAUCCCAUGGUUAACACAGUCCUUGGGGGUCUUUGUGCCCACAGCUCAGCCUUCCCUAGCGUUACAGAAGGCAAGCAGGAACUGACGCUGGGAACCAGUUAUCACAGCCCUUGGAACAAGCAUCCUGUUGAAGUACUGAUAUAGAGAAGUGAAGUUAGCAAGUUAAAGACUUGAGAGUAUUUUUGUUGGAGAAAGGAGUUGAUGAGCGAGUUCUAAUUGGGGAGUUUAUAAUAGAAUACAAUUAUAGAGUUGUGUUUUUUGUGAGUUCUGAGAAAACAAAGAUAUUUGAGAAGAGGACGCCCAACAACUGUAAAAUAAACAUGCUGAGAAGCAGAGAUUUGUAGGGACAGGCAGUUCAGCUACCCAAGGAAGGCUGCAACGACCACAACAGCUUCACGUUCACUGAAAACUUGAUUCUAAUUUGCAGCAUGUGAUUUACUGUUACAGAUAGGCAAAGUUUCAAUGAUAAUAACUUAAAAUAAUCCUUUGAAAAGCAGCAGUGUAUUAAAAAGAUGACAAUAAAGAUGAGCCACGAGGCCAAAAAUGGAAGUUUUUAAUAAUUGCUGAGCUGAGGCAUUACCAGAUAUAGCAAACAGGUAGGCAGGCCCAGGGAGAACAGACUCAGCAGGAGCCACGACAAAGCAGUUGGAAAAUAGAUAUGUGGAUGUUCCAAGGCAGCCCACUGAGAGUACUUACGUCACUGGGAGGGUAUCUCUUGAAUAUUCAACACACGUAGCAGGAAUAUUAUGAUCUCUUAAGAACAUUCUAUGGUUCUGUAACCUCUGGGUUAUAAAUGUUCAGCACUACAUUUUCUAAGCAAACUUCUCAUGUCCUCAGUUCACUUUUGACUGAACUAGUUUUGCUUAGCUUGUGUGUGUGUAUAUAUAUGCGUGCGAGUAUAUAUGUACACGUGCGUAUAUAUAAAAAUAUUCAUAUACUUACUAAAAGAUUUGCAGCAAAGUUCACCAUCCAGACAUGAAACUAACACUGAGACCAGCACCCACGUGGGGAUGCCUGUAACACCGAGGAGCUGCACACAACUCUAAAUGGCACAGCUAUCACUACUGUGUUCUAGGGGUCUCAACCAAAAUGUUAUUUUCACAUUUGCAGGUAAAUUUCAA
rnacentral:lncRNA from 1 species